rnacentral:misc_RNA from 1 species
UCGGGCCUGAAGAUUUGACCAUAGGGACCAGUCCUCACACUGUCCAUGGUACCAGGCUCAAGAUCCAUAAGCACAGCACGAGGGACAAAUCGCCCGCAUGAGGCUUCAUUGUAGUACACAUUGACGCGCUCCAACUGCAGAUCAGAGGAACCGGUGUAUCUUCCAGUUGGGUCAAUGCCGUGCUCGUCGCAAACAACCUCCCAGAACUUGGAUCCGAUCUGAUUACCACAUUGUCCACCUUGAACGUGAAGGAUUUCUCUCAUUUUUGCUUCUCGUCGAGUAACCGGCGACCGUGGGUGGAAAUGAGAAGUUUCUGGCGAUCGGGCCCGAGUGAGGCUUGAUCGAGUAAGAAGAGGAAGUGAUAAACGUGGGGUGCUA